GUGGGGAAUAUUGGACAAUGGGCGGAAGCCUGAUCCAGCCAUGCCGCGUGUGUGAAGAAGGCCUUUUGGUUGUAAAGCACUUUAAGCGAGGAGGAGGCUACCGAGAUUAAUACUCUUGGAUAGUGGACGUUACUCGCAGAAUAAGCACCGGCUAACUCUGUGCCAGCAGCCGCGGUAAUACAGAGGGUGCAAGCGUUAAUCGGAUUUACUGGGCGUAAAGCGCGCGUAGGUGGCCAAUUAAGUCAAAUGUGAGAUCCCCGAGCUUAACUUGGGAAUUGCAUUCGAUACUGGUUGGCUAGAGUAUGGGAGAGGAUGGUAGAAUUCCAGGUGUAGCGGUGAAAUGCGUAGAGAUCUGGAGGAAUACCGAUGGCGAAGGCAGCCAUCUGGCCUAAUACUGACACUGAGGUGCGAAAGCAUGGGGAGCAAACAGGAUUAGAUACCCGGGUAGUCC
rnacentral:rRNA from 1 species